CGAGCCCCCCGGGAACUGCAGGGGGCUGCGCGGGGCACCGCGGCCGAGCCUGGGAGGCCUCUUCUUGAAUCAGCCCCUUCCGCGCUCCAAACCAAGAAAGGAGGGGUUGCGCGAUGCAAGAUAGACUGGAGACUUGGAUGCCACUCCGGGUCCUGUCACCGUUGCCGGAAACCUUCCCACCUGGGCUCUCCUCUACACUCACUCCUGGCCUCAAUGCUGCCUUGCUGUCUGACCUUAGGUAAGUCCCUGUCCCUCCCUGUGGUUCAUCUUCCCCAUGAGGUAGAUGCCUAGCCAAACCCUGCUCUCUGUCCCUAGCCCAAGGGACCACCUGGAGAAUCCUUCUGGAGAAGAGAUGGCUUUUGGCCCUGACUCUCUCCCAUCCUCUGAGGUCAGGACACUCUGCCCAGGCCUGGUCUGAGGAACACGAGCCAGAUACCUCAUGAGUGACUGAUGUGGCUCUGGCUACUCAGGCUCUGUCUCCUGUCCUCCAGCCACCCCAUGUGGCUGCCCUUCCUCCCCUCCAUGAGGCAGAGACCUGAGCAGACAGAUCGCAUGUGAAUUCAGGCUCUACAGCUUAGGAGGCAGGUGACCUUGAGGAAGGCAUUUCACCUCUCUGAACCUCGGUUUCCUCAUCUGAAAAAGAGGAUAACGAUGGUACCAACCUCCCAGGACUAUUGUGAGGAUUAAACGAGAUGAUCCAUGCAGCACACCCUCAGUAAACGGGAGCUGGGCUUAUUGUUCUCUGACAUUCAAGACCCGGAGGUGGAUCCCAACUGAAUUCUCCAGAAUUAAAUCAACAAAAGUUUACUGAGCGCCCAGUGUGUGUCAGGCACUGCACGCAGCCUGGGGACGGAGCAAAGAACAAAAGUCCCCCUCAUGGAGCUCACAUUCCGGCUUCGCUGCCUUCUCUUCUUUCCCCUCUGCUCCAGCUGGGCCUAUACCAUGGCCCCUCGCUCCAGGCUCCCCCACCCCUCCUGCUUUGGCUCAAGCUGUUUCCUCUUCAUGCCAAACCCCAGCCCCACUUCCUCCCACCCCAGUGGCCAUGGCCAUACCCUUUAAAGAGUGCUUCUCCCCCUCAGCUGGCAAAACUAAGUCCUGAUGUCGGGAGCCCGGGUGGUGAUUAGCCUUGGAGGGUAGACCGGGAGGGGGCUUAUGGGGACCUGCUUUUGGGGUGAUGAAAUGUUUCUUGAUCUGGAUGUGUUCACUUUAUGAAAAUUCAUCGGGCUGCACUCUAAUGACUGGUGUACUUUUCUGUACAAACGUUGCACGUCAAUAAAAAGUUUUCUAAAAAAAUACCGACACCUGGGCCCCCCUCUCAGAAUUCUGAUUGAAUUGGCCUGGCAUGUGGCCUGGGCUCCUCAGGGCAUUCGAAUGUGCAGCCGAGGUUGAGGACCACUGCUUUAGAGGAGCCGAUCCUUCCAGGAGUCUCCCCUGGGCCUGGGGCCUGACAACCAUUCAUCCCAGGACCUCCCCACCCACAGCUGACUGGCUCAGGGCUGCGCACCUGUCCAUGGCAGCCAUGCCUCGGGACGAGGCCCCCGAGGUCACAGUGGGCGGGACCAGGCCCAUUCCUACUGAAGCACUUGAGCUGGGAAGACGCUGAGGACCCGCCGUGGGUAUAUGGUGCUGAAACUACAGUCUGUCCAGGGCCCCGAGACAAAGCGGGCAGAGGCCUUGAGGCAGCAGGAGGUGUGAAGCAGUUAGAACAGCAGCUGUCUGGCGGGGAGGGAUGAACCAGGGACUCAAAGUAGAGAGGCCAGGGGUCCUGAGACGGAGCUCCAAGAUCUGGGCCUGUGUGCUGACAGCUACUUACUGCCAGUUCACGUCUCCACUAAUGAGCCCCCCUUUUAUUUCAGGGAAGAACGAAUCUCUUCCUUGCAAUCCAAAGACCUGUGCCCAGCAAGCAACAGCCUUGUGGGCAAAGGAUUAUCAGCCCCAUUUUACAGAUGAGGAAAUGGAGACAGGGGAUACGGCUCAUCCAAAGACACUUAGCUAGUUAGCGACAAAGUCAAGACUUCUGUUCAGCUUCAAGGCCUGUGCUCCUUCUAAUGCUCUGUUUCAUCAUAAAUUCCACAAGAACAUUGCUUUCUAUUUGGAAAUCUAUGUUUAAUAGAAUCCCCUCCUCCCCAGGUCUUCCCAGUAAAGCGAUGCUGCAGGGAGAUGUGCCAUGCAUGUCGUACGGCACGGAGGGCCCAGCAGACCACCGAUAAGUGUGCAUGCCAGUUUGCCUGCACUCCUCUUUAGCAAGGGCUUUUUGUGAAGUCUCAAUCAUUCGUGUUGGAAAACGUAUACACGUAUGUUCAGCAGAGCUGAGGCAUGAUCCGCCCUUUGCUAGAAGUCAUCGUCUUGAGUCCUGCAGGUGGACCCCGGUGGGAAGGGCUGUCUGCCCAGCGAAGCAUGGCCUCAAGUUGCUGACCUUUGCCUUCCGUGUCUGACUUAAUGACACACCUCUUUGGACCCAAAAUCAGACAGACUUGGGUUCUACCCCUGCUCCCCUCGGCCUUUCGGGUUCCCCAGCCUCGAUGGCGUUUUGCUGGAGAGAGAGCACUCUCACGGAGGAGCCGUGGGCAGGCUCACCAGUUGCCCGGUUUUCCACUUGCAGUACGUGUCAGCUUCCGAUUCCCCAGCCCCAUCACAGACCCACUGACCCAGAAGCUGAGGGGAGCCUGGGAAUGUGUGUUUCUAUGGCUAUAAAUUUAUGUCUUAUGCUUUAUAUUUCCACGUGCUCUCCAAGGGAUUCUAACCGAGGCCUUGGUUACAAAGCAGUGGAUCUGCAGAACCCCUUGUUUUCCUGAUGAGGAAACUGCAGCCCAGACAAGGGCGAUGACCCGCGCAAGAUAACUCAGCAAGUCAGAGGCAGCCUUGCCAUCCCAGCGCCCUUCUGGGGCUCUCAGCCCUCCCUUCUGCCCAAGUAAGUGGGUGUCAGGAGGCCCAUGCGGCUGGGGAGCCCUGAGGUCACUGGCAGGAUGCCACUGCGGCCGCGGAUGGGAGGAGUCAUUUGGUAUUUCUAUUUAUUGACUCUUUAAACUUCAUCAUCCAGGGAAAGUUAAUACAUGACUGUUUGGUAGCAAGAGAAACAUAAUCUAAGACCACAAUGACCCACCCACCCCAAACAAAAA